rnacentral:rRNA from 1 species
CAGUAGCCGCGGUAAUACGUAGGUGGCAAGCGUUGUCCGGAAUUAUUGGGCGUAAAGGGCUCGCAGGCGGUUUCUUAAGUCUGAUGUGAAAGCCCCCGGCUCAACCGGGGAGGGUCAUUGGAAACUGGGAAACUUGAGUGCAGAAGAGGGUAGUGGAAUUUCCGGUGUAGCGGUGAAAUGCGUAGAUAUCGGAAGGAACACCAGUGGCGAAGGCGACUAUCUGGGCCAACACUGACACUGAGGCACGAAAGCGUGGGGAGCAAACAGGAUUAGAUACCCCGGUAGUCCCUGUCUCUUAUAC